UUAAUGAUUAAAUCUCGUUUAUAAAUUAAAUCUGUUAAAUUAUUUGUAAUCAGAUGUUUAAUGUUUGUUUACUGUCAGCAGAGGGAGAAACACCUCAAACACUUCCUCAUACAAUAGUGACGUCACAGAUGAAAGUGAAAGUAAAUUGUUUCGUGUUUAUCUUCCGCCAUUUUGAACAGGUAGAGUUGAUUUCUUAACAUAUCGAUGAUCAAAGUGAUUAAUAUAACAUGUAUAAACAGCUUUACAUGUAUUUUUGUGUGUGUAGUUGAUGUUAAAGUUGUAGUAUUUUGAGAAAGUGAAUCCAGUCAGAUUGUGAUGACAGCGAGUGUUCAGGUGUGUUCAGGAAGAGUUUAAAGAUGAAUAUUUAAUGAAUAACUCAGAUUUUUAAUGACAUCUUUCAUGUUUCUAUAAGUUCAGUCUUUUACAUUGUUGUUCAGUAUCAGUUGUGGAGAUCAGAUUGAUCAGAUUCACCUCUGCAGCUUCAUCAUGGAUCAAACACAAACAUCUCCAGGAUGCAGUUCAGAUCAUCAGAAGAGAUCCGAUUCAGAGUUCAGUUGUGUGUCUAUGAAGAGUGAUGCGUCUAUGAAUCAUCCAAUAGAGUUUAAGAGUGAAGAUACACGGCUUGAUAGAAGUUCAGAUCAUCAGAAGAGAUCAGAUUCAGAGUUCAGCUGUGUGUCUAUGAAGAGUGAUCAGUCGAUGCCUCUCCCAAUACACUUUAAGAGUGAAGAAACACAGCCUGCACACAG